GUCAGCUUCGCCUAGUGUUUUCGCAACCUGAUUUGAAGAUAGUUUCUUGGGAAUUUUGUGCACGACGUCAUGAGGAGCUUAUCCCUAGAAGAUUGUUGAUACCUCAGGUUACUCAACUUGGUGCUGCAGCUCAAAAGUACCAGGCCGCCACCCAAAAUGCCUCAUCUAGUGCGUCUGUUUCUGAGUUGCAGAAUAAUUGCAAUAUGUUUGUUGCUUCAGCUCGUCA
rnacentral:misc_RNA from 1 species